GGUCAGCUUGAGUGCAGGAGAGGAAAGCGGAAUUCCUAGUGUAGCGGUGAAAUGCGUAGAUAUUAGGAGGAACACCCGUGGCGAAGGCGGCUUUCUGGACUGUAACUGACGCUGAGGCACGAAAGCGUGGAGAGCAAACAGGAUUAGAUACCCUGGUAGUCCACGCUGUAAACGAUGAAUACUAGGUGUCGGGGGUCAAAGCCCGGUGCCGCAGCUAACGCAUUAAGUAUUCCGCCUGGGGAGUACGGUCGCAAGACUGAAACUCAAAGGAAUUGACGGGGACCCGCACAAGCAGCGGAGCAUGUGGUUUAAUUCGAAGCAACGCGAAGAACCUUACCAGGUCUUGACAUCCCUCUGAAUGGCGCUUAGCAGCGCAGGUCCCUCGGGACAGAGGAGACAGGUGGUGCAUGGUUGUCGUCAGCUCGUGUCGUGAGAUGUUGGGUUAAGUCCCGCAACGAGCGCAACCCUUGAUAAUAGUUGCCAGCAAGUAAGGUUGGGCACUCUAUUGUGACUGCCGUAGAUAAUACGGAGGAAGGUGGGGAUGACGUCAAAUCAUCAUGCCCUAUAUGACCUGGGCUACACACGUGCUACAAUGGGGUGAACAACGGGAAGCAAGCCAGCGAUGGUAAGCGGACCCCUAAAAAC
rnacentral:rRNA from 1 species